rnacentral:rRNA from 1 species
GAAUAUUGCGCAAUGGGCGGAAGCCUGACGCAGCGACGCCGCGUGGGUGAUGAAGGCCUUCGGGUCGUAAAGCCCUGUCGGGAGGGACGAAACAGCGGCGACUUAAUACGUCGCCGACCUGACGGUACCUCCUAAGGAAGCACCGGCUAACUCCGCGCCAGCAGCCGCGGUAAUACGGAGGGGGCGAGCGUUGUUCGGAAGCACUGGGCGGAAAGCGCGUGUAGGCGGCCUCCUAAGUCUGGUGUGAAAGCCCGGGGCUUACCCCCGGAAGUGCACUGGAAACUGGGAGACUAGAGUACCGGAGAGGAGGGUGGAAUUCCUGGUGUAGCGGUGAAAUGCGUAGAUAUCAGGAAGAACACCGGUGGCGAAGGCGGCCCUCUGGACGGAUACUGACGCUGAGACGCGAAAGCGUGGGGAGCAAACAGG